CCAGACUCCUACGGGAGGCAGCAGUGGGGGCUCUUGCACAAUGGGGGGCCCCCUGAUGCCGCGCCGCCGCGUGGGUGCCGGAGCGUUUCGGCGCGUAAAGCCCUCUCGGCAGGGCAGCCGGAGGACGGUCCCUCUUGAAUAAGCCACGGCUAACUACGUGCCAGCAGCCGCGGUAAUACGUAGGUGGCAAGCGUUGUCCGGAUUUACUGGGUGUAAAGGGCGUGUAGCCGGGCCGGCAAGUCAGAUGUGAAAUCCCAAGGCUCAACCGUGGAACUGCAUUUGAAACUGUUGGUCUUGAGUAUCGGAGAGGCAGGCGGAAUUCCUAGUGUAGCGGUGAAAUGCGUAGAUAUUAGGAGGAACACCAGUGGCGAAGGCGGCCUGCUGGACGACAACUGACGGUGAGGCUCGAAAGCGUGGGGAGCAAACAGGAUUAGAUACCCCGGUAUAU
rnacentral:rRNA from 1 species